rnacentral:rRNA from 1 species
CCUACGGGAGGCAGCAGUGGGGAAUAUUGCACAAUGGGGGAAACCCUGAUGCAGCGACGCCGCGUGAGCGAGGAAGUAUUUCGGUAUGUAAAGCUCGAUCAGCAGGGACGAAAAAAGACGGUACCGGACGAAGAAGCCCCGGCUAACUACGUGCCAGCAGCCGCGGUAAUACGUAGGGGGCAAGCGUUCUCCGGAUUGACUGGGGGUAAAGGGAGCGUAGACGGCACGGCAAGCCAGAAGUGAAAGGGCAGGGCUCAACCCUGUACAGGCUUUUGGAACUGUGGUGCUAGAGUGCAGGAGCGGUAAGUGGAAUUCCUCGUGUCGCGGUGCAAUGCUUCGCUCUUAGGCGGAACCCCAGUGGCGAAGGCGGCUUACUGGACUGUACCUGCCGUUGAGGCUCGACAGCGUGGGGAGCAAACAGGAUUAGCUACCCCUGUAGUC